rnacentral:misc_RNA from 1 species
AACUUUUAGCAAUGGAUCACUUGGUUCUGGCAACGAUGAAGAACGCAGCGAAAGGCGAUAAGUAAUGGGAAUUCCAGAAUUCAUGGAAUCAUCGAAUCUUUGAACGCACAUUGCGCCCCCUGGUAUUCCGGGGGGCACACCUGUUCGAGCGCCAUUUCUACCCUGGAGCCCUGCUCUGUGAUGGGCCCCGUCCUCGCGGACGGGCCCGAAACCCGUGGGCGCCGUCGUCCGGUCCCGAGCGUAGCAAGAGAAAUCCCUCGCUCGGAGCGCCAGGCGGUGGCCGCCCCGACCCAUUUUUACAAGGUUGGCCUCGGAUCAGGUGGGGAUACCCGCUGAACUUAAGCAUAUCAAUAAGCGGAGGCU